GAACGACUCUCGGCAACGGAUAUCUCGGCUCUUGCAUCGAUGAAGAACGUAGCGAAAUGCGAUACUUGGUGUGAAUUGCAGAAUCCCGUGAACCAUCGAGUCUUUGAACGCAAGUUGCGCCUGAAGCCAUUAGGCUGAAGGCACGUCUGCCUGGGCGUCACGC
rnacentral:rRNA from 1 species